UUCUAUUUUCUUCAUUCUUCUUCGUUCUUAUUUCUUCUUCUCUGUUUCUUCUCUGCUGAUGAUUUGUGUGUCGUGCAUGAGGGUUUUGGGAUUGAAUCAAGAGUAGAAAGAUUAAGGGUUGAUUGUUGGUGGAGAUGUUGAUGUUUUGAGUUCGGGAAAAGAAGGAGAUGAUGCUGUUGUAAUCAGAAUUAAGGUUUAUAGAGUUGAUUGAUGUUCUGAAGAUAUAGAAGAUGAAAUAUAGAGCUAUGGCGAGUUGAAGAAUCAUGGGUUUGGGUUCAAUUAAAGUUCUGAAAUUUUUUUGGAGAUGAACUGAGAACUAGGGUUUCUGAAAGAUGGAAUCGUUUGAGGUUUUAUGUGUUAUUGAAUAUGAAAUUGAGAAAUUGAAGGUGGGUUUUAUGUUAAUUGAAUCAUAAAGAAGAAUCAGUAGUCGAAUUACAAUUUCAGUGAAGGAUUGGUGUAUUAGGGUUUGUAGUAAUUUUUGAAUAGAUUAGGAAGAUGAAAUUGAAGUCUAAGGAGAAAUUGAAGAUGGGUUUGUUCUUAAAUUGUGUUUGAAGGAAGCUGUGGGGUUGUUUGAGAAUUGCAUCAGAGAGAUAGAGUUUCAUAAAGGAAACUCAGGGAAGGUUCAAAAGAUGAAAUUGUUGUUCUAUGAGGAUGAUUAGAGGUGGGUUUUGUUGAUGAUAAGGAUUAGGUUGUUGUUUGUGUCCGAAUCUAAGAUGUUAGUUUUGGGAAUUGAAUUAGAGUUUGGUCAAGAACAGAUGGUGAUGAAGAUCAAUGAGUUGCUGAAGUAAAUUGCUCGAGUUGAACUAUCUUUGAGGUAAUUUCUCUUAACUGUAGUAGUUCAAGUUGAAUUGUUUUGGUUUCAUGGUUUGUAUGAUUGUCAAUUAAGACUGAGAUUGAUUCAGAUUGGUUGGAGGUGUAUUUGAGCUAUGCUCAACUGUCAUUGGUGGAUGACAGUGGUUGUGAUGGAGCCUUGGUGGUUUAGUAAGUGACAGUUAAAAACGAGUUGAGCUGAGGUGAUGUUUUAGAUGAUUGCUAAGUUCAAUGGUUAUGGUUGUGAAUGGUUGAGUUAAUGGUGAACUGUAGAUGCUGCUGGUGGAGGAAUUUGUAAGUAAUAUGAAGAAAGAUGGCUGAGCUGUUAUGCUAUGCAAUAGUUAGUUAAACUGUGAAAUGAAGAAGUUGGCAGGGUUGUGCUUUAGCAACUGGUUUGGUUGGUUAAGUUGAGCUAUAGUAGAUGCAAGAUUAUAGAUAGUGGUUUAUGUGAAAGCAUUCAACUGGUGCUACACUCAGGUAAACUGAAUUUGAGUUUGUAAAUGAAUGAAGUACAUGUUGAGAUUAGUUGAUUGUAUAUGGUCAUUGGUGUUGAUAUUGAGAAGAAGUUCUCAGGUGGUAACGGUUUAUUGAGUUUAAGGUUUCGAAGAUGUUAACGAAGUUGCAAUUACAGAUUUGAAGAUGUUGGUGAUAAAAACUAUCACAACUGAAUUGUAAUUAGUGUUAGAGUGUUGCUUAGAGAUGCAAUUGCAGGUUAUAUGAGAUGUUAUGACUGAAGUUUUAGAAAGAGAGUUAAACGAAUGUGUUGAGAUGACCUGGUAUUGCUUAAGAGCUGCAAUUGCAGACCGAUUCGAAGGAUGAACCAGUGGAUCA